rnacentral:rRNA from 1 species
CCCUUAGAUGUCCGGGGCCGCACGCGCGCUACACUGAAGGAAUCAGCGUGGCUUUCUCCCUGACCCGAAAGGGUUGGGAAACCCGUUGAAUCUCCUUCGUGAUAGGGAUUGGGGCUUGAAAUUAUUCCCCAUGAACGAGGAAUUCCCAGUAAGCGCGAGUCAUAAGCUCGCGUUGAUUACGUCCCUGCCCUUUGUACACACCGCCCGUCGCUACUACCGAUUGAACGGUUUAGUGAGGGCCUCGGAUUGGUCUCGGCCCGCUCUUUACCGGGCGGCGCCGUUGGUCGAGAAGACGCUCGAACUUGAUCGUUUAGAGGAAGUAAAAGUCGUAACA